AGAGCGAACGCUGGCGGCAGGCCUAACACAUGCAAGUCGAGCGGCCGUAGCAAUACGGCAGCGGCAGACGGGAUAGUAACACGUGGGAACGCGCCCUUCGGUUCGGAAUAACUCAGGGAAACUUGAGCUAAUACCGGAUACGCCCUUACGGGGAAAGAUUUAUUGCCGAAGGAACGGCCCGCGUCCGAUUAGCUAGUUGGUGAGGUAAUGGCUCACCAAGGCUACGAUCGGUAGCUGGUCUGAGAGGAUGACCAGCAUCACUGGGACUGAGACACGGCCCAGACUCCUACGGGAGGCAGCAGUGGGGAAUAUUGGACAAUGGGCGCAAGCCUGAUCCAGCCAUGCCGCGUGGAUGAUGAAGGCCUUAGGGUUGUAAAGUCCUUUUAACGGGGAGAUAAUGACGGUACCGUAGAAUAAGCCCGGCUAACUUCGCGCCAGCAGCCGC
rnacentral:rRNA from 1 species